GACGUAGGGCGCGAGCGUUGUCCGGAUUUAUUGGGCGUAAAGAGCUCGUAGGCGGCUUGUCGCGUCGUCCGUGAAAACUUGGGGCUCAACCCCAAGCUUGCGGUCGAUACGGGCAGGCUCGAGUUCGGUAGGGGAGACUGGAAUUCCUGGUGUAGCGGUGAAAUGCGCAGAUAUCAGGAGGAACACCGGUGGCGAAGGCGGGUCUCUGGGCCGAUACUGACGCUGAGGCGCGAAAGCUAGGGGAGCAAACGGG
rnacentral:rRNA from 1 species